rnacentral:rRNA from 1 species
UACGUAGGGCGCAAGCGUUGUUCGGAUUUACUGGGCGUAAAGGGCGCGUAGGCGGUCGUGACAAGUCACUUGUGAAAUCUCCGGGCUUAACUCGGAAAGGUCAAGUGAUACUGUCGGACUAGAGUACAGAAGGGGCAACUGGAAUUCUCGGUGUAGCGGUGAAAUGCGUAGAUAUCGAGAGGAACACCUGCGGCGAAGGCGGGUUGCUGGGCUGAUACUGACGCUGAGGCGCGAAAGCUAGGGGAGCGAACGGG